rnacentral:lncRNA from 1 species
UUGCCUGGCUUUUAGUAAUUGUGAAAAAAGUGGUAUCUACCUUCGAAAAUAAACGAACAGAAAGCUUGUAUGUGGCUAGGCACACUAAAUUCUUCAUAGCGGUUCUGCAUUAUUUCUGCUUGGCUAAAAUCUCUGUUAAAUGUGUUCUUCCUAUGCCUUGAAAGAACUUCUAAUCUGAUUUUUCCAAAGUAGAUUUUACAGGCUGAAAGUUCAUCUCUCAUUUUACAUUUUAUACAAGUGUUUUUUUCUCUGCAUAACUUACAUUUUCUUGUGGGAAUCAUUAUCUCAAGCAUUGUCCAAGAAUAAGAUUAUAGUUAAAAACACAUACACACACACAACUAAGUCAGGGGUCUCCAUUCCUCUGUAAAUUCCAUGAUCAAUUUGCAAAAUUCUGUAUAAACAGCUAUACUGUUCUUACCCCAUUAGUCAUUAGCAGCUGGACCUAAAUUUAACAACUUAUAGUGUAGUAUUUAUUAAAUAGGAAAUAAUGGGGAACAUUUGCAUGUGACUAUUAAAUAUAAAUUUUCAAAAUGUUCUCAUUUAUUUAUUUAGAGACAGUGUCUCACUCUGUCACCUAGGCUCAGGCUGGAGUGCAGUUGUGUAAUCAUAGCUCACUGCAACUCCCGGGCUCAAGGGAUUUUCCUGCAUCAACC